AGUGAACGCUGGCGGUAGGCCUAACACAUGCAAGUCGAACGGCAGCACAGUGAGAGCUUGCUCUUACGGGUGGCGAGUGGCGGACGGGUGAGGUAUACAUCGGACUCUACUUUUUCGUGGGGGAUAACGUAGGGAAACUUACGCUAAUACCGCAUACGACCUACCGUUGAAAGCAGGGGAUCUUCUGACCUUGCGCGAAUGAAUGAGCCGAUGUCGGGUUAGCUAGUUGGCGGGGUAAUGGCCCACCAAGUCGGCGAUCCGUAGCUGGUCGGAGAGGAUGGUCGGCCACACGGGAAGGGAGACACGGUCCAGACUCCUACGGGAGGCAGCAGUGGGGAAUAUUGGGCAAUGGGCGCAAGUCUGGUCCAGCCAUACCGCGUGGGUGAAGAAGGCCUUCGGGUUGGAAAGCCCUUUUGUUGGGAAAGAAAAGCAGCAGGUUAAUACCCCGCGGUUCUGACGGUACCCAAAGAAUAAGCACCGGCUAACUUCGUG
rnacentral:rRNA from 1 species